rnacentral:tRNA from 1 species
GCCUGGGUGGCUCAGUCGGUUGAGCGUCCGACUUCAGCUCAGGUCAUGAUCUCACAGUUCGUGGGUUCGAGCCCCGCGUCAGGCU